GACGAACGCUGGCGGCGUGCCUAAUACAUGCAAGUCGAACGAGAGCGACCGGUGCUUGCACUGGUCAAUCUAGUGGCGAACGGGUGAGUAACACGUGGGUAACCUGCCCAUCAGAGGGGGAUAACAUUCGGAAACGGAUGCUAAAACCGCAUAGGUCUUCGAACCGCGUGGUGUGAAGAGGAAAAGAGGCGCAAGCUUCUGCUGAUGGGUGGACCCGCGGUGCAUUAGCUAGUUGGUGAGGUAACGGCUCACCAAGGCCGUGAUGCAUAGCCGACCUGAGAGGGUGAUCGGCCACAUUGGGACUGAGACACGGCCCAAACUCCUACGGGAGGCAGCAGUAGGGAAUCUGCCGCAAUGGACGCAAGUCUGACGGAGCAACGCCGCGUGAGUGAAGAAGGUUUUCGGAGCGUAAAACUCUGUUGUUAGAGAAGAACAAGUGCUAGAGUAACUGUUAGCGCAUUGACGGUAUCUAACCAGAAAGCCACGGCUAACUACGUG
rnacentral:rRNA from 1 species